AUGGCCGCCGCUCGCUCCCUGCAGUCGCCCCUCGCCCAGCUCUUCCCGCGUGCCGUGCCCGACCCUCAUGGCCCGUCUCCAGUCACGCCGCCGGUUCCUUGGUCGUCGACGGAGGCCGGCAAGAUUAACUACAACGGCGCCAAGUUCCACAACCGACGACCGUUUUGGGAUUUCACUAGGUAUCGCGGACCCGUCGAGUACAACCACACCACGUUGAUACGGGAACCACUACCGUUGACCUCCGAAGAACAUGGUUUUACCGAGUACCCCUUCAUUUUGUCAAGAUUGUCAAGUCCCUCGACGACAAGUGCACGACUACGCGGAUUGUACCAAGUACCUCUUCGUUUCAGUGAGACCGGCAAGUCUGAAGACCCCAAGUACCAUGAUAACCCCGAAGGGAUUCAAAUCCGUCAAGUUCCUCUACCGAUGACUCGAACGGCUAUGAAACGUGUACCACUAUUGUCGACCCGCGAAGACCCCAUGGACGUCAAGUUCCGUGUCAUGGCCCCGAAAAUCUACGGACAUGAACGACUACUUCCUCUUCGACUCGAGAACCACUACUUCCGUUACCAUUGA
rnacentral:rRNA from 1 species